rnacentral:rRNA from 1 species
UACAGAGGGUGCGAGCGUUAAUCGGAGUUACUGGGCGUAAAGGGCGCGUAGGCGGAUAUAUGAGUCGUUAUGUGAAAGCCCUGGGCUUAACCUGGGAAGUGCAUAGCAAACGAUAUAUCUGGAGUACAAGAGAGGGUGGCGGAAUUUCCGGUGUAGCGGUGAAAUGCGUAGAGAUCGGAAGGAACGUCAAUGGCGAAGGCAGCCACCUGGCUUGGAUACUGACGCUGAGGCGCGACAGCGUGGGGAGCAAACAGG